rnacentral:rRNA from 1 species
AACGCUAGCUACAGGCUUAACACAUGCAAGUCGAGGGGAAACGACAUCGAAAGCUUGCUUUUGAUGGGCGUCGACCGGCGCACGGGUGAGUAACGCGUAUCCAACCUGCCCACCACUUGGGGAUAACCUUGCGAAAGUAAGACUAAUACCCAAUGAUAUCCCACGAAGGCAUCCGAAUGGGAUUAAAGAUUUAUCGGUGAUGGAUGGGGAUGCGUCUGAUUAGCUUGUUGGCGGGGUAACGGCCCACCAAGGCAACGAUCAGUAGGGGUUCUGAGAGGAAGGUCCCCCACAUUGGAACUGAGACACGGUCCAAACUCCUACGGGAGGCAGCAGUGAGGAAUAUUGGUCAAUGGGCGAGAGCCUGAACCAGCCAAGUAGCGUGCAGGAUGACGGCCCUAUGGGUUGUAAACUGCUUUUAUAAGGGAAUAAAGUGAGUCUCGUGAGACUUUUUGCAUGUACCUUAUGAAUAAGGACCGGCUAAUUCCGUGCCAGCAGCCGCGGUAAUACGGAAGGUCCGGGCGUUAUCCGGAUUUAUUGGGUUUAAAGGGAGCGUAGGCCGGAGAUUAAGCGUGUUGUGAAAUGUAGUGGCUCAACCUCUGCACUGCAGCGCGAACUGGUUUCCUUGAGUACGCACAAAGUGGGCGGAAUUCGUGGUGUAGCGGUGAAAUGCUUAGAUAUCACGAAGAACUCCGAUUG